GCUGAGGGAGGGGACACGAACCCGAACCUUCAACAGAAGCAAACCAACCAGAAUGGAGGGCCCAGCCCCAUGAAGGUGACCAGAAGGACCCCAUGCUGCAGGCUGUGUGGGUAGCUGAGCAGAGCUAAGCAGCUUGACGAACCAGCAUCUCUCCAACUGGUUGAAGACAAACUCUCGGAAGACAGUGCUCCAUGGCACAUCCCUGACAACCAACACCACCAGCCUGACAACUUGCUGGGGUGACCGCCAGGGGGUCUGAGGUGGCCGUCUGAACUAUGUGGUCUGAUCUCAGGCAGCAGGCCUUAGAGCACUGCCUUCACACAGACUGGAAGUGCUCACAGGUGGCUGCCCUGGAGGAGAGCACAGUGCCUGCAGACAUGUCACCGCUCCACGCAUCGAUGCUGGCAGUCCUCGGGGCUCUGUGUGUAUAUGGUGCAGCUCACCUAGAGCAACCUCAAAUUUCCAGUACCAAAACUCUGUCAAAAACAGCCCGCCUGGAAUGUGUGGUGUUUGGAGUAACAAUUUCUGCGACAUCUAUAUAUUGGUAUCGAGAAAGACCUGGUGAAGCCAUACAGCUCCUGGUGUAUAUUUCGUCUGAUGGCAGUGUCAGAAUGGAAUCAGGCAUUACGUCAGGCAAAUUUGAGGUGGAUAGGAUACCCGAAACGUCUACAUCUACCCUCACCAUUCACAAUGUAGAAAAAAAAGACAUAGCAACCUACUAUUGUGCCUUCUGGGAGGUGCACAGUGGCUGACAGUUACAGCUAUCUCAUUCAAUAAAUGUUUAUUGAAUCUGUAUUUAUAAUUACAAAUUGGGAAGCCACAGUUACCAUCGGUGUGCUUGUAAACAGUCUUCUAGAUAAACAUUCAUGUGGUGACUCUAGCUGGAGUUGCUAAAUUCUAUAUUUUCUCAAAGCAGAAGCUUUGCAUAAGUCUAUACAAGUGGCCAGUCUCAUCUUUUACAAGGUUCUACUCUCUCUCCAACAGCUUUUCUAGGUCACCCGUGUUUAUUCAUCUGGUUCAACCUCUCCUACUCACUAUAUUUUUUUUUCUGGCAUAACAUACACACAUUUUUAGUGUGAUUCUUUUGUACUAGUCAGCAUGCAUUACAUCAGUUUUCUCCAAUCUUCCUAUCUCUCUUGAGUAAAAAAUGGACAUUAC